rnacentral:rRNA from 1 species
AUUGAACGCUGGCGGCAGGCCUAACACAUGCAAGUCGAACGAGUGGCGGACGGGUGAGUAAUGUCUGGGAAACUGCCUGAUGGAGGGGGAUAACUACUGGAAACGGUAGCUAAUACCGCAUACCCUCAGAUGUGCCCAGAUGGGAUUAGCUAGUUGGUGGGGUAACGGCUCACCAAGGCGACGAUCCCUAGCUGGUCUGAGAGGAUGACAAGCCACACUUGAACUGAGACACGGUCCAGACUCCUACGGGAGGCAGCAGUGGGGAAAAUUGCACAAUUGGCGCAAGCCUGAUGCAGCCAUGCCGCGUGGAUGAAGAAGGCCUUCGGGUUAUAAAGUACUUUCAGCGAGGAGGCGUUACCCGCAGAAGAAGCAACGGCUAACUCCGUGCCAGCAGCCGCGGUAAUAC